CUCCGUGGCAUGUGGGAUCCUCCCGGACCGGGUCACGAACCCAUGUCCUCUGCAUCGGCAGGCGGACUCUCAACUACUGCGCCACCAGGGAAGCCCUGUCACAGAUUUUUAACAUGAGUUUCCUGGGUACUGAUUUCACACUUUUGGUAGGAUCUCUGUUGCUCUUACUUGUCUGGGCUAAACGGGGGCCCUGGGUUUCCAAGGAAAGGGGAAUCUUUGAUCCCUUCAUAAAAGGAUUGAAGGCUCUGCCAGAGUGAAAACAUUGGCCUGGUGGAUGGACAGAGGGGUGGAAGCAUCUUCAGACCUAGCUCUGACUUUGGGGAGGCCCAGUUGGAAAUUUCCAUCAUACCCAGCACCCCUGCCAUCCCAGGGACCCAGCACAGGUCUCUUAGCAGUGCAUGAAAUGGGUUUUUAAACUGCACAGACUUGGCUCUGAGCCUGGGCACCUGAGGAUCCUGCCAGACAGUGCACUUUGGAAGAAGAUGUACAAGGAGCAGCUAAGCCAUUUGGACUUGAACUCUGGGGAGGCAGAAACUCCCCCCACCCUCUGCCCUCUGUUGGCUGAUGUGACACCUAUUUGUAAUGUACACCAGUCUGUUUCCACACUUGCCUUUCUAGUGAUUGUUGGCCUCGACGAACCAGAAGUAAGGCCUUCCUUCGUGCUGCACCUUCAGAGCCAUUCUCCCUACUUUGUAAUAAAAAUAGAGGGGGCAGUUUGUGGGUCUUCACCACCCGGAGCUAAGAACAGCAGCCACAGUAUGCCUGGAGACCCUGGGGCACCUCGUGUCAUCGUGUGCUUGCCCUUCCCUGUCACACAUUGGCUUUCAGUGCUCUGUGAGCAACACACUUUGUCUCCACAGUCCUCAGAGUGUAGGGCAGGGUCUCCAGGCCGGGGAAGGAGCACCCUCUAGUGGAGUUGGGGUGAAUUCUCAGGUGCAAGAAUCUCCAGGAGCCGCCUCUGCGACCUUGUACAGGAUUUUGGUGUACCUAUUGGGGUUUAAGACAGGUGGGUUGUCAAGGAACUUGGAGAAUCUUCAUUCCGUGGAUGUGUACUCCAGGUGUGAUAACCUUAAGAAAAGCCGAACUCCACGACCAAGUAAGUAGGAGAGUCUUCAUUUUAUAGAAAGCUUCGCUGCUGGGAUUUUUCCUGUCCUUUGCCCUGAUGAGUUCAAAUGGGUUUGAUUUGCAAAUUUGGCUUUACACUCAUUGUUUUUGAAACACAUCAGUUGAAUAAAGUUGCUGUUUAUUUUAUUUAGAAAAUUACAUUUUGUAAAGGAAUUUGACAUUCAUCGUCAUAACCAAUGACCCUUUUUUUCUCUCAGGCCAGAGAUUCUGAAACACUGUUCCGAGACGAGGGGUGGGUUGGCUGCCUCAGCAGUAGCUGGGAAACUUUUUAAAAAUUAUGAAUUCCUCCGGCCUAGCCCAGACCUUCUGCAUUAGAAUAUUUUUUAAGUCUCUGAGGAGUCAAAGUAGAGCUUGGAAGGACUUGAUUUCUGAACCAGACUCAUUAAGGAACGCACUCAUCACUUCUCUGUGGACGUCUCAGGCCAAGCACACCUCCCAUGCAGUGCAUGGCUUGGAAUCCCUUCUCUUCACCAAAGCAUUCCUUCAGCGCUCACCUCCUCCAGGUAGCCUUCCAAACCAGGUCUUAACUUCAUCACCAUUCCUCGCUUUGUGAUUCCUUGCUUUUGCUAACACUUUGGUCCAGCUGUACUUGGUCAGAUGUGUUAUUUGAGCGUAGCUGUGUGUGUGUCAUCCCUCUCACCUCACCCCUGGCCAACUGACUAAAGAGCUUUUUAGAACAGGGGCAGUGUCUCCACCAUCAGUCUAGGAACCUUCUGGGGGCGGGGACUCUAACUCCCCUAUUAGAUCGGGGAUCCAGAUGCUGCCUCUCCUCACAUCAGACUAGGCACUGCGCAGUCUAGAAUCAUCUCUCCAUGCCUCACGAAGCCUCAUCAGCAAGGCAAGAAAAUACGGUCUGACCUACAGCCCUGUAGGAAUGGAGAGUGGGAGGAAGAGGGGUAAGAGUGGCCCUCCUCACUCACAGGAGGGUCCCUCUUAACCUUCAGGGGAAAACUGAUGAAGAGCCCAUAAGGUUAGUCCUGGAUCAGAAUGCUAUUCAGCAACUCCAGAAAUAUUCUAACUCAGCUCCUGUUCCCUCCUGUGUAGCAGCGUAAACAGAAACCUCCCCACACGAGGCCAGAAUUCUGCCUUAUAAGCCUUCUUGCUUCCCUUGUUCCUUGUCUGUUGGGUAACAAUGAAUCCUUUAUUGGGAAGCUUGUCAAAUCCACGUAGACACCGAGGGGGUGGCCAUAUGUUUUCUGUCUCGUGGCUCCUGUUGGAUGGCAGCCCUGGAGUAGCCUGUGUAGCUGACAGUGCUGGUGGGACACAAUACCACCCUCCCGCUCUCUUCAACACGCUACCCUGUCUUUGUACCUCCUGCCCCCAUUCCAACACUCAAGCCUUUUCAGCAGCAGCUGUGCAGUGAGCCAUUGUGGAGGAAGGAUGCUAACGUAAGUUCUCGGAGAAGGUGAUGGAUUCCCAACAAGGGUCAGAGAAAGUCAUUCGGGGAGGACAGAGCCUGAGUAAAGCCAGUCUGAGCACGGUGGGUGAGGCUGCUCUCGGAGAGCUGACCUGGAAGUACAGAGGGCAGGGAGCCAAGGUGAGGAGGGGCAAGGUGGAGAGGGCAUGAAGGGCUGGCUUGUUUGGUGGGAGAGGAAGGAAUUGCUGAAAGCCCUUGAAUGCAAGUUGAGUCUGUAUCUGGUAGAAAAAGCAGUGGGGAGAUGAGGACAGAUCUUGGAUAGGAAAGAGACGUGAUAAAAAUAGUGCGAGUGAUCCAGUCAUCUGCAUGUGGGAGGCUGAGUGCUCGGGGAAACGGAGGCGAGGUGCUAAGCCUGGAUUCUGCGGCAGGAUUGGUGUGCCUGUUGAUGAUUAUGGAAGUGGGUUGGAGCUGGGGUCUAGGUGAGUGAGUCCUCAUCUUUUAGACAGGCUUCAUCUCUUGGAGGAAGGUGCUGGGAGCUCUGGCUUAAUUCCCCAAGGGGAUGAUGGUUCCAGGAAUGGGGGCUGCUGCUUUGGGCAUCUGUUGCUGCCAAAAGUCAGUGGAUCUGGGUGAUCCCGUUCAACCCAUGGAGAGCAGGUCUCCUUGUCCUCAGCUGCACCUGGCUGAGCUCUGCCAGAGGUGUGUGUAACCUUAGAAGUCACGAAGCAUCCUGAAAGUGUUUCCAUUCCCACGAGGGAUAAACACAUAGAACAAGAGGAAUCAUUCUUACUGAAGCCACUGAAGUAUGUACUUAAGGAUCAAUAAGACUACUCUUGCGGAUCUAUGCUUAUUCAACAUUCAUGCAAGAAGUAGUGAUUAAGCGUCUGUUAUAUACAGGCACAUUACUAAAUACUGUAUAUGUAGCUAUGAGUAAGACUGACAUGGGCCCUCCCCUGUCAGGCAUUUUGUAAUUUAUAGAAAUAGGUGUCUCUGAACUUGUCCAGGACUUUCUUUCCAUUGGCAGCAACUGGCCAGAGACCUUGAUGAAGACAGGAAUGGGGUGCAGGCUACCAAGAAGCUCGGGCCCAGACAAAAGAACAUAUGUUCCUAACAAGGGCGUGUGCUUUGUUCAUCAUCGUCGGUCCUACUAGAGAAGCCUGAGCCUUGGGACAGGUGGGGAUUGGCUGAAUAUGUAUGGGCUCUCCUGUCCCCUGUAGCCCAGGCAAGCUUCCCAGGACUAUUCUGGGCCGUCGGGCAUUAGGGAUCAUCUUAGUCCCCAUCUUAGUCUCAUUGAUGAGAAAACAAAGGUCCACAGGGAAAGUGUGGCUUCAUCAAAAACCCAUUGACAGCAAAUGUCAGAGUCAGGCUGGGACCACACCUCUAGAUUCCUCCUCCAGUGCUCUCUGAACUCCAAGACCCUCUGGAGUCUCCUCUCCAGCUGCAAGCAGGUCCCUAGGCUCCUGAUGGAGGCGGCCUGAGUCCGCCAGUCUCUGGGAGUGCUGAGAAUAGCCAUGAUCUAUUGAGAAAAGGAUGUGGCCCAGGAGCUCAACAGACAGAUGUUCAGCACCACAGACAGCUCCGCUGGCCUAAUUUACUUGAGAGGCUGGUUGCCCCUCGAGGCAGAGUGUCAUGGGAGAGAGAAAAGUACUGGAAUGAUCUUAGAGACCACCUAGUCCAGCUCCUUGCUUUGUAUGGGAGGAAACCCAGGAACAGAUAGAAUGACUUGUCCAAGGUCACACGGCAGGUCAAUACAGAGCCAGAGAGGAGGGCCAGUAGCCCUCUUCCUCACACCUCUUCAGGGCCCUCAGAUACCUGAUUCCCAUGACUUAUUAAUAGCACAGCCAGAGCUUGAAUCAAAGUCUUCAAAAUUUAAAUCCCUUGCCUUUGGGGAUGGCAAGAAAAGAAAAGAAAAAAAGAAGUAAAAAGAAACUGAAAGAGCACCCGGCCCUGAUGGGAAGGUCUGUGAUUUGGCCUCUAACUUCAAGUGUUUUUGGGUUUUU